GACAAUUCAGUAGAUAGAGCAUGAGACUCUUAAUAUCAGGGUCAUGGGUUCAAGCCCCAUGUUGGGCA